UAUUUUUUUAAAAAAACAUAAUAAUGAAGCAACAAUAACAAAUUUGAAAUAAUAAUAAACAGGAUUUUUCAUGAAAUUAAUCUAUUGCCCAUUCUCAAAAUUUUAACUAAAGAGGAUUGAAUUCUCCCCACAAAUUACAUCAUUCUCUAACUUGAUUACAUUAAAUACUCAAUCACAUUUCCUCCUCCGCUCACUCAAACAGCAUAACGUCAGGCUGAUGAUGCAUAUAAAUUGCAUGAUUGUAUUUCAAAACAUAAUUCAAACUAUGCUUUAUAUGCUUAAAAACAGUAUUCCCUACUCUAAACAUUCAUAAAUUGAGCUUCCUGCAUACUUGCAAAGAGUUAAACUGAAUAUAAGAAUCAAGAACUUAACCAAACCAAAACUUAAAAAAAAAAAAUCAGAAUUCUUGUGGAAAGUGGGUGGGAUAAGAUCCUGCAUUUCCUGUUUGAGCGAAGCUCCAAUAACCGGAUGCUUCCCAUACUUCCUUAUG
rnacentral:misc_RNA from 1 species